rnacentral:rRNA from 1 species
UACGUAGGGGCUAGGCGUUGUCCGGAAUCAUUGGGCGUAAAGCGCGAGCGUAGGCGGCCAGAUAAGUCCGGUGGUGAAAGCCACAGGCUCAACCAUGUGAAUGCCGCUUGGAAACUGUCUGGCUAGAGUCCGGGAGGGGCGGAGUGGAAUUCCUGGUGUAGUGGUGGAAUGCGUAGAUAUCGGGAGGAACACCAGUGGCGCAGGCGGCGUCCUCGGACCGGCAUGACGCUGAGGAGCGAAAGCGGUGGGGAGCGAGUCCGG